CACAUUAACAUCAAAAUAUAAUUAUCAUCAACUCAAGGUUCUUACAAACAAACAAAUAGGAAAAAAAAAUAAUUGAAUAAAUUACAAUCCACUUAAACUCUUUCUCAAAACAUUGAACAUUAAAUAACAUUGUAUUAAAGUAACUUAACUAGUGAGCCAUCCUUCUCACAAACGAUAAAUAAAUACAUAUACAAUCAUCAUCAGAUCACGGAAGCAGUGAGCUCUCCUUCUCACAUACCGAGGUGCCUGUGUUUGUGAACCCUCCUUCUCACAAACGAUAAAUAAAUACAUAUACAAUCAUCAUCAGGUCACGGAAGCAGUGAGCCCUCCUUCUCACAUACCGAGGUGCCUGUGUUUGUGAACCCUCCUUCUCACAAACAAUAAAUACAUACAUAUAAAAUCAUCAUCAGGUCACGGAAGCAGUGAGCCCUCCUUCUCACAUACCGAGGUGCCUGUGUUUGUGAACCCUCCUUCUCACAAACAAUAAAUACAUACAUAUAAAAUCAUACUCAGGUCACGGAAGCAGUGAGCCCUCCUUCUCACAUACCGAGGUGCCUGUGUUUGUGAACCCUCCUUCUCACAAACAAUAAAUACAUACAUAUAAAAUCAUACUCAGGUCACGGAAGCAGUGAGCCCUCCUUCUCACAUACCGAGGUGCCUGUGUUUGUGAACCCUCCUUCUCACAAACAAUAAAUACAUACAUAUAAAAUCAUACUCAGGUCACGGAAGCAGUGAGCCCUCCUUCUCACAUACCGAGGUGCCUGUGUUUGUGAACCCUCCUUCUCACAAACAAUAAAUAAAUACAUAUACAAUCAUCAUCAGGUCACGGAAGCAGUGAGCCCUCCUUCUCACAUACCGAGGUGCCUGUGUUUGUGAACCCUCCUUCUCACAAACAAUAAAUACAUACAUAUAAAAUCAUACUCAGGUCACGGAAGCAGUGAGCCCUCCUUCUCACAUACCGAGGUGCCUGUGUUUGUGAACCCUCCUUCUCACAAACAAUAAAUACAUACAUAUAAAAUCAUCAUCAGGUCACGGAAGCAGUGAGCCCUCCUUCUCACAUACCGAGGUGCCUGUGUUUGUGAACCCUCCUUCUCACAAACAAUAAAUACAUACAUAUAAAAUCAUACUCAGGUCACGGAAGCAGUGAGCCCUCCUUCUCACAUACCGAGGUGCCUGUGUUUGUGAACCCUCCUUCUCACAAACAAUAAAUACAUACAUAUAAAAUCAUACUCAGGUCACGGAAGCAGUGAGCCCUCCUUCUCACAUACCGAGGUGCCUGUGUUUGUGAACCCUCCUUCUCACAAACAAUAAAUACAUACAUAUAAAAUCAUCAUCAG